UACGGGGGGAGCAAGCGUUGUUCGGAUUUACUGGGCGUAAAGGGCGCGUAGGCGGCCACCGCAAGUCGUGUGUGAAAUCUCUGGGCUUAACCCAGAAAGGUCAACCGAUACUGCGGGGCUAGAGUGCAGAAGGGGCAACUGGAAUUCUCGGUGUAGCGGUGAAAUGCGUAGAUAUCGAGAGGAACACCUGCGGCGAAGGCGGGGUGCUGGGCUGACACUGACGCUGAAGCGCGAAAGCUAGGGGAGCGAACGGG
rnacentral:rRNA from 1 species